AUGGACGGCAUUGAUAACUACAUCUGGCAGCGCCGCAUCCACCACGGGGUCAGGUAUCAGAAAAACGCAGUUCCGUUCCCGGAGUCGGUUGAAGUCGGUUUGGACUUUAACGCGGCGUUGGAAAGGAAGGAAAAGUUAGAUCCGAGUCUGCUGACGAACGCCGUGAUGCUGGAUGUUUGUGACUUCGCCAAAACGGUGACGAAGUCCGAGAUGUAUUUCUUGUUCGAAAUGCUGGAGUUCAACUUUGACCUCGGCGUCGACGUGGACGAUGACCAGCAGUGCUACGACUACGCAAAACGCACUAACAAUAAAACAAAGCUGCUGAAGGAUCAAAUCAAGAUGAAACCUCGUAGAAGGAAAGAAAAGUUUCCACUACCAGACUUAAGCAAUAUAAUGGGGUCCGCUGCGUCAGCGCCGUCAGGACGCUACUACCCCAAAAGGAACACAAUUGUGGAUAGUUCACUCCUCACUGAUGGCAGCAAAAACAGCCAGUCGGCAGAAGAUCAGAAGAUGGAGAGUAACGGAGCUGCGUUAAUGACUAAGGAACCAAAAGGUCUCCGAUUUACAGGUGGAUCUUAUCCUUACUGUAAAGACGUCGGUGUGACUCUGGUUAUUCGACCAGACGACGCACCCAAAGAGAAACUCGACCCAAAUCUGGUAACCAACGGUGCGAUGCUUGAGAUGCUUGACUUUUCCCGAGUGCUUUGUGGAACGCACACUGGGAUAGUUCACGACUUAAUUAAGCAAAACUUCGGUCUUGAGUUAGAUAAAACGCUUUUCCGUUUGCAACUGUCCAAGCUGAUGGAGAGGAAGUACGCCUGCCUAACAACCGAGGACAAGGAGGCUUUCCGAAAGGAGACUUUUAGAGUCCAAAUCAAAAAACCGGCACAGAAGCAUAAAAAGAGAAAAGCCCCUGAUGCAGAUUACCAAGACUGGGAAAGACUAACACAUGAGAGUAAGAGAAGGGAGACGCUGAGGCUCAAGGAAGUUGAUGCCGACAUUUGGCAGGAUAGUGACCUUUCAUACAUGUGCCCGGUUGAUUUAGAAACAGAAAUGCAGUUAGAUUCGGAGGCAGCACCGGAGAAUAUGGUGUUUGAAAGUUGUUUAUCAGAAACAAAGUUGUUGCUGGAUGUAAAGCAGGAAGAAGAGGAAGUUUUCGUCUCCCCAGUGCAGCUUCAGACUUGUGACUUCAACCCUCGUUUGCCUGGCGUUCGUCCAGAGAACACGACUCUAAAAGCAGUCUCGGAUCUGUUUAUUGAAGACAAAAACGAGGACACAAAUGUAAAAACACAGAAACAGAAGCUGUGGAUGAGACGUGCUCCUCGCUCAAAACAAAUCCUGAAGUCUAGCAAGGUGAACGACAUGUUUGUCCGCUGCAGAGAGAUAGGUUUCGACUUUAAUGUUGGAUCAGGCAACAAUCAGAACUUGGAUCAACACCUUUUCACCAACUGCAUGUUGUGGGAGGUUUAUACAUUUUCAACUGCGAUGACGAAGAGUUUACGCAGUUUCUUAUAUGACAUUCUGGACACCAACUUUAACCUCGUCCUCCAAGAUGACUUGCAUGUGCGCAAUUUCUUUUAUUAUCUCAUAACAAAAGAGAGGAUCCUUCAGAACCACCCUGAUAGAGGGAAAAUGGAGUUUCUCAAAAGUCCCUUUCAGUUCCCUGAAUUUUACAACCUGGUUGAUGUGACCAACGAUUUUCAAACUGGACAGGAAGUUGAGAUGCGGCAGAAUAACUUGGAUCCCAGCGAGCCGACAGAUAUGAAGCGACAGCCGUUCUGUAAAAAGAUAGGACUCAACCUCUUGUCGACAGAACAACGUCCGGUGAGCCAGAAGCUUGAUUUGACGGUCCUGACCACAGGCGCUGUGCUCGAAGUAUUCGUCUUUGUCAGAGAGUUGUGUGGCUCGGUCCAUGAGAUAGUUAACGACCUCCUGGAGCACAACUUUGAUCUGGAUCUGCAAAGUGGAGAGACCAUGGCCGCGCAGGUGAUCCAGAGAUGGUACGCCACCCAGAAAAGCUUCAUGAAAAGGCAAACCACAUCACCUAAGAUCGUAAGUUGGUUGAACACGGUUGUCCCGUUGAAUGGUCACACAAAGCUUGAGCCUCAACCACCAACUGUGGAGGAUCUGGACUCAGAAGACGUUAAGCCAAAAAUGGAUUUAUAUGAAGAUGUGGAGAAGAAGCUCAUCAGAUAUCGCAUCUGCGCAGAAAUAGGAUUGGACCUCAAUGUCCGCUGUAAACCAGAAGCCAAAACAAAACUUGACCGGCGAGUGUUGACGAGGGGAGUCCUCUUUGAGAUGCACCAGUAUGUGGAACAAAACUGCAACCGGUACGUUCCCGCUCUGUACGAGAUCCUGGAGUACAACUUUGAUCUGAGCUCGCAGAACCAUCGCAAAGUAGAGUUUGCCUGGUCCUUUGCAUCUCAGGUGAUCGCCAUAGCAGGUAAAAACGGCAGGAAGGGAGAUUAUCUGAACAAAGUGGUCGAGUUGCCUGUCGAGGACUCCGAGUUCUCACAGGUCGUCUGCAAAGAGGAGCCGGAGGACUGCUUCGGCGAACUGGACCUUAACAACAACGAUAACAUCGUAUUUGUCAGAGAACUGAAGCCUGUUGACAUAGAAGUGGUGGUAGAUUAA
rnacentral:lncRNA from 1 species